rnacentral:rRNA from 1 species
AGAGUUUGAUCCUGGCUCAGGACGAACGCUGGCGGCGUGCUUAACACAUGCAAGUCGAACGAUGAAGCCUAGCUUGCUAGGUGGAUUAGUGGCGAACGGGUGAGUAAUACGUGAGUAACCUACCUUUAACUCUGGGAUAAGCCUGGGAAACUGGGUCUAAUACCGGAUACGACCAAUCUCCGCAUGGGGUGUUGGUGGAAAGCGUUAUGUAGUGGUUAUAGAUGGGCUCACGGCCUAUCAGCUUGUUGGUGAGGUAACGGCUCACCAAGGCGACGACGGGUAGCCGGCCUGAGAGGGUGACCGGCCACACUGGGACUGAGACACGGCCCAGACUCCUACGGGAGGCAGCAGUGGGGAAUAUUGCACAAUGGGCGCAAGCCUGAUGCAGCGACGCCGCGUGAGGGAUGACGGCCUUCGGGUUGUAAACCUCUGUUAGCAGGGAAGAAGAGAGAUUGACGGUACCUGCAGAGAAAGCGCCGGCUAACUACGUG